UAGUCGAAAGGUAGCCGUCCGUCCUGCUUCCGCAUCUGAACCGCCACAACUAGAGAAAGAGAGAGAGAGAUCAUGGCUGCUCCACCGUUUUACUGAAGUCCUACUCGCUCUAUUCUUGUUCUUUUCUUUUUUUCAAUCAUGUACUUCGAAGAGUUUUCGAGACUGUGCUUUUCGAUCGCUGCUGAGCUCCUCACAAAAACCUUGAGAAAUUCCUGAUCCAGCGCUUGAAGAUCUACUAGGGUUUGAGGGGGAAGCAAAACCUAUCUUUUCAUGUAUGGCGUCAGGACCGCUGUUGGACGGCGGCUGCGAUGGCUCCCUUGAGAAGCGGCGGUGGGUGGAAAGCAAGGUUUACACCCGAAAAAGCGUUAACAGAGGGACCAAGCCCAACCCGAGUCAAAACCCCCAUCCUCCUCAAAUCCAGCCCCUGGAUUCCUCGCAAACCCUAGCCACUACCACCGAUGACGUCAAUUCUUCCUUGCAGCAGCUCCAACCCCCUCGUCAGGAGAGUCACCGACCCUCGGGGCCUCACCAAUCGUCCGCUGCCUCCGACGAAGACGCCUGCAGUCUCAACCAUAAGCCCAGCGGGAAUCACGAACUGUCCAAUCGCCAGAACCGGUUUGUAACCAUCAAUCUCGCUUUCAAGUCAAAGCAUGAAGUCUGGGAGCUGCGGAGGAAGCUAAAUUCUGAGCUUCAGCUGGUCCGUUCUCUUGCGAGGAAACUCGAGGCCAGGCAGCUACAGCUUUCCGCCAACGAUCCAGGUAAAGCUCCGUUUACUACUGGGCAAAGUAUAUCUCAACUCUCUGCAGAUAAUGCCCGAGAUUAUUUUCCUGCCAAAAGGCCUCCGGCAAUAUCAGAGGCUGCUUCUGCUGCUGCCCAAACUCCACCAUUACGCCCCCAAUUAAGUGUAUCAGUUCCAGCUGGAACUGGUGGGGAUAAUGAAUCUCGCGACCUUAUGGAGAAGGAGAAGCGAACUCCUAAGGCCAAUCAGUACUAUAAGAACACAGAUUUUUUACUUGGGAAGGAGAAGUUCCCGCCAUCAGAGUAUAACAAGAAGUCCAAGGCGAAUGGGAACAGGAAUGGCAUGCAGUCUGUGGACAAAAAGUAUUAUGAGCAGGCCUUUAAAAAGUGCGGGGUGCUACUUUCUAAGCUUAUGAAGCACAACCAUGGCUGGGUUUUCAACAGUCCUGUUGAUGAUGUUGCACUUGGUCUCCCUGAUUACCAUAGAAUUAUUAAAAAUCCAAUGGACCUUGGUACAGUCAAGUCCCGGUUGAGCAAAAACUGGUACAAGACUCCCAGGGAAUUUGCUGAGGAUGUGAGACUCACCUUUCACAAUGCAAUGACUUAUAAUCCAGAAGGACAGGAUGUGCAUAUUAUGGCCAAACAACUUUUGCAGAUAUUUGAGGAGCGGUGGCCUGUUAUAGAGGCUGACCUAGCAUAUUUUCACUAUCCUCCAUCAUUGAAGAGGCCUCUACCUAUUGACCCGAGAAAGACUCUAGAGAGGUUGGAUUCAACUGUUCAUCAUUCUGCUGUAGAUUUGAAGACAAAAUCGAUGAAUCAAAAGACGGACAUUGGGCGACCUCCAGCAUCCAAGAAGCCCAAGGCUAAGGAUCCAAAUAAGCGGGACAUGACCUUUGAUGAGAAGCAGAGACUGAGCGAUAACCUGCAAAAACUUCCUUCUGAAAAGCUGGAUUUAAUCGUUCAGAUAAUCAAGAAAAGGAACUUUUCGCUAAGCCAACAUGAGGAUGAAAUUGAGGUGGACAUUGACAGUGUAGAUACUGAGACUCUUUGGGAGCUUGAUAGGUUUGUAACCAAUUAUAAGAAGAGUCUGAGCAAGAAUAAAAGGAAGGCAGCACUUGCCAUGCUUGCAAGGGCAGAAACUGAGCAGCAAUCCCUAGACACGGAACAAAGAAGGCUUUCUGAUGCUGCUCCUCCAGAGUCACAGAAGGAAAGGAAAACAGGCAUUGUUUCAUCCCCAGCUGGAGGAAGGAGUGGGGAGAAUGGAAUCAAAUCAAGUAGUUCAGGCAGCUCCAGCAGUGAUUCUGGAUCAACUUCCAGUGAUUCGGAUAGCGAAAGUUCUUCUGGGUAUGAAUCUGAUGCUGCACAGUCUCCUGGAUCAUAAAAUAGUAUAAUGCAGAGCUACAACGGUAUUGUCCUGCCGGUGUCAUUGUUCAGACUUUUCAGGACUAGGACCAGACCAGGAAUUGGCUGCUCCAAUUGAUAACCCUGGGCAGCUUAGGGCUCCAUGGGAACUGAUAUUGUAUCUUGCCAGAACAUGUUAUCCAGAGUGUGGUGGUUGUAUAAUAACUCUACCUGAGUUUAUGAUGCAUAUUUUGAAAUCAAUUCUGCAGGUGUGAUCAUCUUUUCCAUCUUACUCUGCCUACCCAAGAGCUUUACCAAGAUCCUUGCACAGUGCUAUGUUUUUGCCUAAAAAAGAUGAAAUUGGUUAUAUUUUUCAUUGUAGUGGAACCGGGCAUGUGAUGUUUUCCCUAAUUAAUGCCAAAUAUAUAUGAUUUUGGUUAUAAUUUCUUCGCUGUUCUUGCCGACGAGCUUCUGGUUUAACAUGAACUUUUGGCUGCUUCUGACAUGUGUUACUGAAAUUGAGUGGUCGGUAUUGUGAUGUAGCGGAAUUUGCAGCCCCAUGUUUCAGGUAUUGUAAUGUAGGGUUAGUAUGAUUCAUGCUAUGUUUCUGCUUCUUAAAUAUAGGUUAGAUUUUGUAUAGUUUUUGGGCUUCUCUUAUUAUUUUGUGUAUUUCCAAUGACA